rnacentral:rRNA from 1 species
GACGAACGCUGGCGGCGUGCUUAACGCAUGCAAGUCGAACGGUAAGGCCCUUCGGGGUACACGAGUGGCGAACGGGUGAGUAACACGUGGGUGAUCUGCCCUGCACUUCGGGAUAAGCCUGGGAAACUGGGUCUAAUACCGGAUAGGACCACUGCCUGCAUGGGUGGUGGUGGAAAGCUUUUGCGGUGUGGGAUGGGCCCGCGGCCUAUCAGCUUGUUGGUGGGGGGAUGGCCUACCAAGGCGACGACGGGUAGCCGGCCUGAGAGGGUGACCGGCCACACUGGGACUGAGAUACGGCCCAGACUCCUACGGGAGGCAGCAGUGGGGGAUAUUGCACAAUGGGCGCAAGCCUGAUGCAGCGACGCCGCGUGAGGGAUGACGGCCUUCGGGUUGUAAACCUCUUUCAGCACCGACGAAGCGCAAGUGACGGUAGGUGCAGAAGAAGGACCGGCCAACUACGUGCCAGCAGCCGCAGUAA